rnacentral:SRP_RNA from 1 species
UCCUCCGCAAUAGGAAGGUGCUCAACUCCGUCAGGACCGGGAGGUAGCAGCGGUCGGCAUUCGGACUAUGUGCCGGAGGGGA